AUUGAUGAGUGGACCCUGGUCUCACCGAAUCCUUAGAUCAUUGAGCACUUUACAGUGGUAAGGGGGGCAAGGCCACACAAGGUCAGGUCACAGAGACCUGCACUUGUGUCACACCGUAUUUCCUAGGUACAGCGGAACCUUGGUGUCCUCAAAUUCCACACCCAUGGAUCUAACCCACCAUGGAUGGAAAAUAUUCAGGGAAACACACUGUGUCUGUACUAAACAUGUACAGGCUUUUUCCUGGUCACUGCUCCCUAAACAAUACAGAAUAAGCACUAUUAUGUGGCAUUUACAUCGUAUCAGGCAUGGAGCCCGCAGCACUAUGAAGAAAGCAGGCAGGGGAGUGGCUCGGUAAGCAGCCUCUUCGGCACACUGGAACCAGUGGGAUUUGUCACAGCGUCGAGAGCCACAAUGUAUUCUCCAGGGUGAAAGCUGCCCAAAGCGAAGCGAAGAGACAAGGGGCUAAGCUCAACGAAGUUGCAGUAAAUGUUACAAUCAAAAGGUGAAUACACUCAAUAUGUGCAAUUCCUGGAGAUAGACAUGAAGACAGCAAAGAACCUUACAGGACAAGAAGGUCACAGAAGCCAAGCCAGCAGAGGACACACUCAUGGAAACCAAUCAAAUUAGGGUAAGGGAUUGUGGUAACAAAGCAACACCGUAAUACAGAGGCUGGAGCCAGCCAGUCUGUUCUGUCUCAGGUCCAGAGAAACAGCCCCUCAGAGGACAGGCAGACGGACAGAUGGAUACAGAGAUCUAGACACACAGGAAUCAAACUCAGGGCCUCGUGCUUGCUCCUUGAGCUGCAUCCACAGCCCCUAAAUUUCUACAUUCAGUAGAAACUGAACUUUGAAUCUUGAUCUCUCCAAGGCUGGCGAUCUUCAGUGACCCCUGGGUGGUGCUAGGUGGCAGUGGCCAGUGACAGCUGUCCAUCAUCAUGAAGGGCAACAACCAACACUGCAGUGUGUCGUGUUGCUGAGAUGCUCACGAAGUUGGGCGAAUCACAUGCAUUUCUAACUUAAGACAUCUUCAAGUUGAAAUUGGCAGAUUGGUUUACAACCCCACUGUAAAUCAAGGAACAUCUGUUUUCAAAAGAUAAAGAGCUCUCUUGCUUAUUUGCAAUACUAUAUAAAAUAUUUGGUUAAUUAAAACCACAGAUACAGGAUCUUUGAGUCUUAAGUUUGCGUCAUUCUCAGCUUUCCGCUGCCACAGCCUGAUCUUAGGGGUCUUGGAGCAGACGCCCCCACUUUGCACAGGCCCAACAGGGAGCAGUUCCUACUACAGGGCUCCUCACACUCUUGAUGAGGACUUGGCCACGAGGCAGUUUGGACAAUGCAGUCCACUCAGUGGCCUCUGCCUAGCUCCGGAUCUGUUCUCCUACAAGGACAAAAUGGAUUUCAUUUGAAGUAAGUGAUCUCCA